CUACGGGAUGCUCCAGUGGGGAAUAUUGCACAAUGGAGGAAACUCUGAUGCAGCAACGCCGCGUGAAGGAUGACACUUUUCGGAGCGUAAACUCCUUUUAUAUAGGAAGAAGAUGACGGUACUAUAUGAAUAAGCGCCGGCUAACUCCGUGCCGAGCAGCCGCGGUAAUACGGAGGGCGCAAGCGUUACUCGGAAUCACUGGGCGUAAAGAGCGUGUAGGCGGAUUAAAAAGUCAGAAGUGAAAUCCUAUAGCUUAACUAUAGAACUGCUUCUGAAACUCUUAAUCUAGAAUAUGGGAGAGGUAGAUGGAAUUUCUGGUGUAGGGGUAAAAUCCGUAGAGAUCAGAAGGAAUACCGAUUGCGAAGGCGAUCUACUAGAACAUUAUUGACGCUGAGACGCGAAAGCGUGGGGAGCAAACAGGAUUAGAUACCCUGGUAGUC
rnacentral:rRNA from 1 species